UCCCUGGUGGCUCAGACGGUAAAGCGUCUGCCUACAAUGCAGGAGAACCGGGUUCAAUCCCUGGUUCGGGAA
rfam:TPA: Bos taurus chromosome 8, whole genome shotgun sequence.